CUCGCCACCCCGCCCGCCUACUCCCGCUGCCGCCGGGCUCUCGCUUUCUCUCCGGCCUCCCCUCGACCCUUCCCCUCCCCCUACCCGGCACACACGGGGGGCUGGGAGCGAGCUGCCAUGUGAUGCGCGUCCUCUCGGUGAGCUUUUGGUGACCCCCCGAACCGCCCACCGCGCCGGCUCCCUGGAGGGGGCUGCAGGCUGGGAAGACGCUGGGAAGAGGAGGCGGAAAAGGACGCAAAGUUCUCUGGCGAGGACUGGCCGUUGAAAAAAAAAUUGGAAUUCCACCUUGACUACAAAACCGAGAACGAAGAUGUUAAGC